rnacentral:lncRNA from 1 species
UGUAAACAUCUAGUGUUGGUUGAAGCCCAUCGGUUAGCAUGAUCUCAAAAAGCAAGCUAGCUUGAUUUGGCUGCUUGCACUUGCCGAGCAUUACCAAAAGCUUAGCAUAUGUGUGGCAUCUUGGCUCAUACCAAUGUUGCUUGUGAAGAAGGCCAAAAAUCUAAUAGAAAGAACACAUUUCUGUCAGAAAAAUGUUAAAACAAUAAAUACGAGUUUUAUCUACAGUUUUAUUUAGAACGUGUUGCUUGCGAAGAAGGCCAAAAAUCUAAUAGUAAGAACACAUUUCUGUUAGAACAAUAAAUACAAGUUUUGUCUACAGUUUUAAUUGGAAUACAGUAACGACUACAUAAGCUUAUGGUGAAUCAAUCAACUAAGCCUCAAUCCAAACUAUUGGGGACGCAGGCUUUAAUAUUUUUAUGAAACAGAAGAUUCAACAACAACAACAACUACCCAGUAUACUCCCACCAGGUGGGGUCUGGGAGGGUAAUAUGUA